UGGUACAGAGCCUGGUGGAGAAGCUGCAC
rnacentral:piRNA from 1 species